UGGGGAAUAUUGGACAAUGGGGGCAACCCUGAUCCAGCAAUGCCGCGUGAGUGAUGAAGGCCUUAGGGUUGUAAAGCUCUUUCGCCUGCGACGAUGAUGACGGUAGCAGGGGAAGAAGCCCCGGCUAAUUCCGUGCCAGCAGCCGCGGUAAUACGGAAGGGGCUAGCGUUGUUCGGAAUUACUGGGCGUAAAGCGCGCGUAGGCGGCUUUUCAAGUGAGGCGUGAAAGUCCUGGGCUCAACCUGGGGACGGCGCUUCAGACUGUUUGGCUCGAGUCCGGAAGAGGGUGGUGGAAUUCCGAGUGUAGAGGUGAAAUUCGUAGAUAUUCGGAGGAACACCGGUGGCGAAGGCGGCCACCUGGUCCGGUACUGACGCUCAAGUGCGAAAGCGUGGGGAGCAAACA
rnacentral:rRNA from 1 species